CGGACGGGACCGCAGAGUCUGCCCCCGGUAUUCAGCUCGUCCUCUUCGUCGGCCGCGUCCGUCGCCAAACGACACCCUCUGAGCGGGUGCCAUGGCGGGCGUGAGCGCGGCGGGGGACGCGUGCACUUUCCGGGGUGCGGUGCGUCACGACCGGUUCGGCGGAGGUCAGAAGGCCGGCGGGAUGGUGGCCAGUCGUUCGCGUCUGGUGGUAUAGCCCGUCUGCGUCGCAGGCCCUCUGCCGGACCGAGGAGGAUCCGCGUCUGCCUUAGGGCGCGGGGCCCGGGGCCUCCCGUGCUGCCUCCGUGCCGGGACUGCUCUCGCAGUGCCGUGCGCGGUUCGGCGGUCGGGACGGACUCCGCUCCCCCCGUAACGGCGUCUAGGGUCGGUGGCGAUAUUGUCGGCAACCCGUCCGACCCGUCU
rnacentral:rRNA from 1 species